rnacentral:rRNA from 3 species
UGAGCUCAGGCAAGGCUACCCGCUGAACUUAAG